CUGUGGGUGGUGAAAAUGGUUAACACAUUUGGCUACUAACCAAAAGUUUGGAGGUUUGAGUCCACCCAGAGA
rnacentral:tRNA from 1 species